UUAAGUUCAGCGGGUAUCCCUACCUGAUCCGAGGUCAAACUUAGAGAGUUGGGGUUUGAUGACCACCGUCACCAGGACUCCGUAGCGAGGAAAUCUACUACGCUCAGAGCCUGAUGGCGCCGCCACUCGUUUUGAGGCCCGCCGGGUUAGCGGCGGAGCCCAAGACCAAGCAGUGCUUGAAGGUUGUGAUGACGCUCGAA
rnacentral:misc_RNA from 1 species